CUGGGCUUGACAUGCACGGGAAAGCCGGUGGAAACACUGGCCCCUCUUCGGAGUCCGUGCACAGGUGCUGCAUGGCUGUCGUCAGCUCGUGUCGUGAGAUGUUGGGUUAAGUCCCGCAACGAGCGCAACCCUUGUCCCUAGUUACCAGCGGGUCAUGCCGGGCACUCUAGGGAGACUGCCGGUGUCAAACCGGAGGAAGGUAGGGACGACGUCAAGUCAUCAUGGCCCUUACGUCCAGGGCGACACACGUGCUACAAUGGCCGGUACAGCGCGUCGCCAGCCCGCAAGGGUGCGCUAAUCGCUAAAAGCCGGUCUAAGUUCGGAUUGUGGUCUGCAACUCGACCACAUGAAGCUGGAAUCGCUAGUAAUCGUGGAUCAGCCACGCCACGGUGAAUACGUUCCC
rnacentral:rRNA from 1 species